UCCUACGGGACGCAGCAGUGAGGAAUAUUGGUCAAUGGACGCAAGUCUGAACCAGCCAUGCCGCGUGCAGGAAGACGGCUCUAUGAGUUGUAAACUGCUUUUGUACGAGGGUAAACGCAGAUACGUGUAUCUGUCUGAAAGUAUCGUACGAAUAAGGAUCGGCUAACUCCGUGCCAGCAGCCGCGGUAAUACGGAGGAUCCGAGCGUUAUCCGGAUUCAUUGGGUUUAAAGGGUGCGUAGGUUGUUUUAUAAGUUAGCGGUGAAAUACCGAUGCUCAACAUCGGGGCUGCCGCUAAUACUGUAGG
rnacentral:rRNA from 1 species